GAAACGGUGUCUUUAGACACCAUCAUUAAAAUUGGAAUCUUGUUUU
rfam:Picea glauca, whole genome shotgun sequence.